UACAGAGGGGGCAAGCGUUGUUCGGAAUUACUGGGCGUAAAGGGCGCGUAGGCGGCCUGUUAAGUCGAACGUGAAAUCCCCGGGCUCAACCCGGGAACUGCGUCCGAUACUGGCAGGCUUGAAUCCGGGAGAGGGAUGCGGAAUUCCAGGUGUAGCGGUGAAAUGCGUAGAUAUCGUAAGGAAGACCAGUGGCGAAGGCGAAUCUCUGGACAGUUACUGACACUGAGGCACGAAGGCCAGGGGAGCAAACGGG
rnacentral:rRNA from 1 species